GGAGCCUGAGAAACGGCUACCACAUCUAAGGAAGGCAGCAGGCGCGCAAAUUACCAAAUCCUAAUACAGGGAGGUAGUGACAAGAAAUAACAAUACAGGACUUUUUGGUUUUGUAAUUGGAAUGAGUUAAGUAUAAACCCCUUUACAAGUAUCAAUUGGAGGGCAAGUCUGGUGCCAGCAGCCGCGGUAAUUCCAGCUCCAAUAGCGUAUAUUAAAGUUGUUGCAGUUAAAAAGCUCGUAGUUGGAU
rnacentral:rRNA from 1 species